rnacentral:rRNA from 1 species
CCGGCGACCGGCGCACGGGUGAGUAACACGUAUGCGACCUGCCCCCCGCAGGGGAAUAACCGGGAGAAAUCCCGACUAAUACCGCGUAACGCCGCGGACCUGCAUGGGUCUGCGGCCAAAGGAAGCGAUUCCGGCGGAGGAUGGGCAUGCGGCGCAUUAGCUAGUUGGCGGGGUAACGGCCCACCAAGGCGACGAUGCGUAGGGGUUCUGAGAGGAAGGUCCCCCACACUGGUACUGAGACACGGACCAGACUCCUACGGAAGGCAGCAG